CAAAGUACUUGAUGAAAACAUUAGAUAAUCUCAUGUUUGGGCUGUUUUUAGCAGCAAUAUCAGUUACAGGGCAAAGGUUUCUCUAGCCCAAUAGUUUUCAAACUUUUUUUUCUGGAGACCCAGUUGAAGAAAAUUGUUGACGCCUGUGACCCAAGGGAGCUGGAGAUGAAAGUUGGCUUCCUGACAAGUGUCCCUCAUUGCCUUGGUGAUCAACCUAGGGGUUUACAUCUGCUGGCCUCUUGUAGGAGGACUCAUAGAACCAACCUAGAAACCUUGGAGCAGCUACAGCACAGAAAGUGACUAAGGCCUGGUCUACACUAUGACUUUAAUUCGGAUUUAGCAGCGUUAAAUCAAAUUAACCCUGCACCCAUCCACACAACGAAGCCAUUUAUUUCGAAAUAAGGGCUCUUAAAAUCUA